rnacentral:rRNA from 1 species
AUGUAAGGAUUCAAAGGUCGAACAGACCUAAACUUUGAACUUCUACACCCAAAAAUAACCCUUAAUCCAACAUCGAGGUCGCAAUCUUUUUUAUCGAUAUGAACUCUCAAAAAAAAUUACGCUGUUAUCCCUAAGGUAACUUAAUCUUAUAAUCACUAAAAAUGGAUCAAUUAAUCAAAAAUUAUUGUUAAAAACUUAAAAGAGUUUAAUAAAUCUUCUUGUCACCCCAACAAAAUACAUAUCUUUAUAAAAUUAAUUAUAUUUACUAAAAAUAAAUUAUAAUAAAUAUAUAUAAAGCUCUAUAGGGUCUUCUCGUCCUUUAAUUUUAUUUAAGCUUUUUAACUUAAAAAUUAAAUUCUAUUAACAUUUAAAUUGAGAUAGUUAAUACCUCGUCCAAUCAUUCAUUCUAGCCCUCAAUUAAAAGACUAAUUAUUAUGCUACCUUUGCACGGUCAAAAUACCGCGGCCCUUUAAAAUUUUUCAGUGGGCAGAUUAGACUUUAAAUUAUAUUCAAAAAG